rnacentral:tRNA from 1 species
GGGUCAGUGGCGGAAUAGGUAUACGCGCAACACUUAAAAUGUUGUCCGCUCUGCGGAUGUGGGUUCGAUUCCCACCUGACCCA